GACGAACGCUGGCGGCGUGCUUAACACAUGCAAGUCGAACGAAGAGCGAUGGAAGCUUGCUUCUAUUAAUCUUAGUGGCGAACGGGUGAGUAACGCGUAAUCAACCUGCCCUUCAGAGGGGGACAACAGUUGGAAACGACUGCUAAUACCGCAUACGAUCCAAUCUCGGCAUCGAGACUGGAUGAAAGGUGGCCUCUAUUUAUAAGCUAUCACUGAAGGAGGGGAUUGCGUCUGAUUAGCUAGUUGGAGGGGUAACGGCCCACCAAGGCGAUGAUCAGUAGCCGGUCUGAGAGGAUGAACGGCCACAUUGGGACUGAGACACGGCCCAGACUCCUACGGGAGGCAGCAGUGGGGAAUCUUCCGCAAUGGACGAAAGUCUGACGGAGCAACGCCGCGUGAGUGAUGACGGCCUUCGGGUUGUAAAGCUCUGUUAAUCGGGACGAAGGUUCUUGUGCGAAUAGUGCGAGGAUUGACGGUACCG
rnacentral:rRNA from 1 species